rnacentral:lncRNA from 1 species
UUGAAUUGGUAAAAAUUUUAUAAACCGGAUGAAACUAAAGAAAUUAUAGUUAUGAACUAAAACAUAGAAUAAUCUUAUAGUAACAUCUAUAGUAUAGGAAAAUUACUACUGUAAUUCUUUUUUUUUCUUUUUUGAACAUCUAUAGUAUAGGAAAAUUACUACUGUAAUUCUUUUUUUGAACAUCUAUAGUAUAGGAAAAUUACUACUGUAAUUCUUUUUUUUUCUUUUUUUCGCAUAAGAUCUAGAUACUAAAAAUGAGAGGAAAUAUAAUAUUGAUGUCGACAAAUGUUAAAAAAAAAAAAAAAUCGAAUAAACGGAUCAUUGUUGAUUUACGUAACGAC